AAGGGAGAAAUCUGCCCACAUGAUUCAAUAAGCUCCCUCAAGGUCCAUCCCCAACACUGGGGAUUACAAUUCAACAUAAGAUUUGGGUGGGGACCCAGAGCCAAAUCGUAUCACGCCUACAAUGGAGAAACUCAGUGAGGUGAAACCAACCUAAUUGUCCCAUAGAACUGGUAUUUAAUGGUUUCUUCUCAAUAAACAUAGAAGAUAAUCCUCCCAGUCUUAAAACUUAAGAAAGUUGUAUUUGUCUUAUGUGAGUUCUUUUCUCAGGAAAUCAACCAUCAGGCCUUUGAGAUAGUAUAAAGAAACUGAAACUUACCAGAUUGCCACAUCUGGACAAUGAGACACCAGACCCCUCACCUGUCAUGAUUGCCUAAGUGACCACCUGCUCUUCCUGUUUACCAACUCCUCUUCCUUACCUCUUCCUAAUUCCUGUUUUCCUGCAUGUCAUUAUAUUUCUUCCCUACUACUUAAACCCUAAUUUUAGUCAGUCAGGGAGAUGCUUUUGAGACUGAUCUCCCAUUUGCUUGGCUGCAGCACACAAUGAAAGCCUUCUUCCCUGGCAAUACUCGUUGUCUUAGUGACUGGCUUUCUGUUUGGCGAGCAGCAGGACCUCACCAGAUCCCCUGGUGCUUUGGUAACAAGAAGAUGGCUGUGAGGCCUGUUUAAGAAUAUACGCCAUAAAUAGCUUAUCAGGUAUUCCCCUGUCUGUAAGCAACAGCAAGAACCACCAGACCCAAAGGGGCCUUUGGGACAGAGUUAUCUCAGUAGCAAUUGUGCACACCGAUGGCAGAGCACUGGGCCAGAGGAUGGACAGGUCGGAGGAUGCUGGUAAAGAUGAGAGACAUAGGAGUGGAUGAGCCACCUACUUGCUGCGGCAGCAUGCAAACUCCAAGAAGCAAAUGAACUGGAGUUGUGUGGUGGAAUAGGGGCCUCAAAGAUAAAUUGUUGUCCUUUAAAAACCUCUGGGGAUAUAAAUCCUCAUGCUAUAUCCUUUUGAUAGAAAUAAAAGUUAAAAUUAAUCAUGAAGUGUAGUUUGGCAAGUACCUAUAGUCAUGUAUGAUUAUGUCAGAAUAAUCAUACAUAUGGCAGUCAGAAUUCUAUGGAGUAUUAAAAUGAAUCCCCACUUAGAACAUGUUCUCAUUCUGCUCAGAGUAUUCUCUUGCUUUAAAUGAAAACAAGUAGAGAAACAGACUGGUAAGAGAUAAUUCCAUUUGCAAGAGGCAAAGUCUAAUCUAUUUGCAUGCAAAAGUCUAGAAGAGUUUUUUUUUACUUUAUUCAUCACUCCAUUAAUCUAAUUUCAAAAGGGAAGGCCCAGACUGAAAACAGGGGUUAUUCACAUUUUGAACAAACUUCUCAGGCAUGAGUGAGCAAAGCAUUCAACUGUUAGACUUUGUUGCUUCUUUACCAGCUGGAGAUAAGCACAAUGAAGGUCAUCCUAUCUAAUCUUAAAUAUGGAUAGACAUAUACACGUAGUUGGGGUUGGAGAAGAAAUUAUUUUGAAGAAUGGUAAAUAAUAGGUCUUUUAUGCACAGGUGUGCAAGUUGGGAUAACAUGUUCCAUGGUGUCUAUUUCCAUCUUGUGUCAGUCUACAGAAUGAUUGACUGAAUGAAAAUUUCCAUAGUAAACAAUGAGAAAUAGCUAAGAGUCAUGUAUAUCAAACACCAUUCUGCAACAUGACAGAGGGAUUUGGAACGACUGGAGAUACUUCCACCCCAGGAAUUUCCAGGACAUCUGGUAAGUCAACAACAUGAUCACAAACAUUAUGGCCAACAAUGUGAGUUUUUGCAACAAUGUAUUCAUUUUCCAAAUGUUCCAGCUGAGAAAGCCACACAGAACAUUCCCACCAUCUAGCAGAUGGCUAAUGGGGAAGCCAAUAUUUUCUGUGGAAACCAAAGUUUCUUCUUCUAAUGUUAGAUAUUUUCAGCAGAGAGAACAAAUAAGCAUGUUUUUAAAUUUCAUUCUCCCACUCUCAGAAAGAAAAUGUAUUGUAUACUAUUAAUUUUAAAGAGUAUGUAAGAAAAAUGUUUUUUCUUUCCCUUAAGAUUGUAGAAUGAAGAGAUUGCUAGACCCAGAAAUGUUUGGUGGUAGUGAGAAUGGCUGCUACUUUCCUAUGUGACGUGAGAUGGAGGGGUUGGGGAAAAUUUUGAGUCCGUAUUUAUUAUUAUUAUUAUUUUCAUUGCUUUGUGGGGGAAAAUUUUAAGUAUAUUAUUGGAAAUGAGUUUGCUCUUACCUAUGUCUAGAUUUACAACUAACUUGUAGGAUGUAGAGAUAUGAAUGGGACUUGAUUUUCAUAGAAAAUGAAACAAAAUGAACAAGGCUCAAUUACCACAUUUAUUUUAGAAAGAGUAGGAGGGGAUGGCAAGCAAAAGAUAAAAUGCUGUUUGAGUAGCAUUGAGUUAACACCUCUAGUUUUGUAGACUACACUUUCCUGUGCCAGGAAAGCGGUCAAUUCACCUUAAAAUGUUUUACCUUCACUUGUCACUAUCAAGCAUUCAAGUAAAUAUUUGGAAAAACAUGCCUAUGUAAAAUACUUCUAAAGGUAUGCAUUUUUUAUAAAUGCAUGUUUCUAUUUGUUUUUUGUUUCAACGUGUUAUUUAAGAAGUUUAGAGGACCAUGUUGAAGUGGGAGUUUCUCCCACUUUUCCAGUAAUAACUGCAAAUGAGUGUUUUUAUGUCCCUGCAAUCUGACUAAAAUCCUUUAAAAAAAUUAAUUGCGAUACUGCCAUGCAAAGAUAUUGGCAUGUAAAAUUGCACUUAUUUUUGUAACAAGUUAUUUCACUCUUAAUAUUAAAGUUACUCUAUACCUACUAUGUACAAGACAAUAUGCUAAGCUCUGCUGGAGACACAAGAAAUUUACACUGAAGUUUAAUGGUGCAAAGACAUACUUAAUUUCGUUAAGUUAUUAAUCUUAUCUGCCUUCCUCUUUUAAAAAACUGGGUAUCUUAGGUGAAAAAUCCAUUUGGUGCUGCUAGGGUCUGGCUUUCCGAAGCCUGUGCAAACUGGAGUCAAAUGUAUUAUUCAGGAAUGGCUAAUAGGCUCUCUCCAUGAGAUGAAGAUAUGGUCUUCUUGGAAAUAGAGUGAGGUUGAAAAUCAAGAGAACCAAAAACUUGUAAACACCUCCUUAGUGUGGUAUAUGAACAAUUUCUCCUCAUUCUCUAAAGAAUCCCAUGUCCUAAUCCCCAGUAUUUGUGUUUAUAUUAUUUUUUAUGGCAAAAGGACUUUGCUGAUGUUACUAAAUUAAGGAUCUUGAGAUAGGAAGAUUAUUCUGGAUUAUUGAGCGAGCUCAAUAUAAUCACAAGUGUUCUUAUAAGAAGAAAACAUGAGGAACUGAAUCAGAAGAGGUGUGACUAUAAAAACAGAGAUUUGAGUGAUAAUGUUUUGAAGAUGGAAGAAGGGGCUGUAAACCAAGGAAUGCAGGUAGCCCGGUAGGUAAAGCAAGGAAACUAAUCCUCCCCUAGAGGCUCCAGAAGGGAACACAGCCCUGGCAGCACCUUGACAAAUACACUUUUAUCCAGUGUGACUGGUCAGAUUUCUAACCUACAGAACUAUAAGAUAAUAAGCUUGUAUUGUUAUAAGCCACUGUUUGAGUAAUUUAUUUACUGCAGCAAUAGAAAGCUAGUACAGUAAUAAAUCCAUAAAUAAGUACUGUAAGAUCUUCUUGAAGGAAAAUGUAAACCUAAGUAUAUAAAAGCUGUGGAAUAGCAAUAAUUAUUCUUUCCCAACUCUGGCAGGUCUAUGUGGUCUAUGUGCAAAGACCAGCAACAGCUUUACUCAGGAGGAACAAGGAACAAGAGGAAAAAUGUGGAAAGAUGCUUCUCCUGCUCUCUGCAGCCACCUAAGUUUUGCUUAAAUCUAUAUCCCUUUUCUAAAUAAAUUGGGAAACUACAAGAGAUAAACACAUAUAAUCUCUUCUUGCCAACUCGUAGACAGACUUCCAAAGAUAAAAAAAAAAAUCCUAGAAAAGGCUCCAUUGAAUAUUACUGGAGUACUAACUUCUGAUUUUAAUAUGAUCUGUUUCCAUAGCAAACACACCAUUCUGGAGGAGUAGGGAUGACAAUGACUUGGCAGAUAAUUCCUGAAGUUCCAUGAAUUUCUUUGCCAUCAAUUAUAUUUGCUUCUUUACAAAAACUCAGAUGAACUUCUGAGGAUUUUAAACAAGGAAAGCAACUGUCAAGAAGUGAAAAUGAACCCUAACCAAAUGUAUCAACGUACAGAACUGAGAUAUGAAUUGAUAAGAAAAUGAGAAAAAAGGCAAGAUGACCAGAAGAUACUGACAGAAAAAAAUUUAAGAAGCAGCACCAUUAGUGGAAGCCAACAAGCCUUUCCAUUGCUCCUGGAGAGCUGGUCCCAGAGAAGCCUACUAACUAGAUGGAAGGCAAGCAGCUGUGAGCUGUCUCUUUUAGCACCUGACCUUCCUGGCUUGGCUAAGUUCACUUCAACUUCCUCUUCAGGAGAGAGGAGAGAAAUCAGCUGUCCUGGGGCCUGCUUUUAUUUCCAAUGAUUAUUGUCUCAUACCUGAUGACUGGGUAGGGACCAUUUCUGGCCUGGGUGACUUUGGCAUCUAGACCCUGGCAUACAUCUGUCUGAGCCAUCUGCAGCUGGUGAAAAAUAACCCACCACAUAAAACACCACAGCUAGUGAACAUUUCCCACCUUUUAUCCUCUGGCUUCAUAGGGCUGUGACAGACGGUGCCCCAGCAGGGACUAUGCAGCUCAACUGCCAAAGGGGAGCGCCAGCCAUCGUGAUGGUCCUGACUUCAAAUCUGGGAUAUCCAGUUGUUCCAGUGCAAUUUAUUGAAUAGACUUUUUCUUCAUUGAAUUACCUCAGUGCCUUUGUUGAAAAUAAAUUGGCCAUAAAUGCGUGAGUUUGUUUGUGGAUUGUCAACUUAUACCAAUGCCACACUGCUAUGAGUACUACAGCUUUGUUUUAAGUAAUGAAGGCAAAUAAAGCUAAUACUUCAAGCUUA